UUUUACAGCCAAACCUUAAUACCAGUGCUGAAGCAAUUUGGAACUUAAUAAAUGGAGCACAAACAUUUGCCAAUGAUAAAUAUGAAUGGGUUAAUGUCAAAGAUGUUGCUGAUGCUCAUAUUCUAGCAUUUGAGACUCCUUCAGCCAAUGGAAGAUAUAUAAUAGUCGAGAGAUUGCUCAUUAUUCACAGAUUGUAGAAGCUUCGCGUGAACAUCCAACUUUGCCCCUUCCAGAAAAGUACUUGUAUGGAUUUUGUCUUCUACUUAUUGACUUGAGGAUUGACCUAGCUACCAUGACUUGUGAACUUUUAUUUUGAAAAACUUAUUAUGUUACUAUGGUACUGUGGAUAUGGGAUUUUUUUGUCUCCAUGAUGACAAUAUGGUUUAUUUUGUUCCAAUUGAACUUUUGUAUGGAAUGGAUAGCCAUUUAUCAGAUUCUUGUGUAUUGUCUUGUGAAAAUC